AUAAUUCCUAUUAAAAGAGAAAAUUAAAAUUUAGCUGCUAACUAAAUAAAGAGCAAAAUGUUCAUCUCUUGUGGAUUUAUA
rnacentral:tRNA from 1 species